AACGAACGCUGGCGGCACGCUUUAAGCAUGCAAGUCGAGGGGCAGCAAUGCAGCAAUACAGUUGGCGACCGGCGCACGGGUGAGUAACACGUAAGGAUCUGGCCUAAAGGUCUAGGAUAGCCAAUGGAAACAUUGGGUAAUACUGGAUGGUACCGAGAGGUUAAAGCUAAGCAAUUAGUGCCUUUGGAUGAACUUGCGGUUCAUUAGCUAGUUGGUGAGGUAAGAGCUUACCAAGGCGACGAUGGAUAGCCGGCCUGAGAGGGUGAACGGCCACACUGGAACUGAGACACGGACCAGACUCCUACGGGAGGCAGCAGUGGGGAAUAUUGGGCAAUGGACGCAAGUCUGACCCAGCAACGCCGCGUG
rnacentral:rRNA from 1 species